AUGUGAUCCCAGGAAGAGAGGACACAUGCCAAUGGCGUCCUCGAUAAGCCCUCUAGAUGUGUCAGUGGGUAAAGAGGUCUGCCAGCAACUUGAUUAGCUGAGUCUUCUCCCCAGGAUCUACAUGGUGGAAGGUUCCUGGGAGAUACCACAGGCCAUUGCUGCCUUCUUGCUCAUCCUCCAGCGACACCUCUGCCACAUUCCCACCCUGAUUGGCUGAAGUACCAUGAAAGAAACAUGAGGAGAAAGGUUGAGUCAGGGGAAGAAUAGAUGAUAACAAGAAUGGAGAUACCAUAAUAGAGGGAGACAUUUUAGGUUUACAGAGAAAUCAGGCACUAGGGAAAUUUCUGGAGAU